rnacentral:misc_RNA from 1 species
CGCUCGCGGGCUACACCCGCGCCCCCAGGACCUCGGNGAACUCCGAGUGCGCCCUGCGUUGCCCUCGAGCUUAUCAAAAGUGGUGGCUAGCAGCGCCGGUCGCGUCGGCCCCUGAGCUUAAACCCGGUUGGCGCUCUCUGGUGCCCUCCGGUUACAGGCGGGGGUUGGCAGGCGCCGGGGGUUUUCCCCCGUCCCCCMCCCCCSUUGCUACGCACUGUGGGUCCGUCUGCACGGGAGCCGGAUUUCCGAACCCCGCGUUGAACGCAAGUUUCUGAGCUACCAAGUGCCCUAAGACGUUAAGUGUGGUUCAUAGCGUAAAGCGAUGCAAGAAGUAGCUACGCUCUCGGCUCUAUAGGCAACGGCUCUCAGCAUAACCUAUUCACUUUCUUCCGCCGCGGCGGUCGCCCGCUUGGGCGCCCCGAGCGAGAGAGCAACGUAAAGGAACCGCGUAAGGCGCGGCCCCCAAGCAAUCUCGCGGCUUCCCUACGCCUUGCUCAGGGCGUAGGGGGGCUGCUACCCCCCUCCUCGGCUCCGAGGUGGGGCGGUCNCUAAAAUGAGCAAGCGCCCAGCAAGACGAUCCGUCCAAAGCUGUUACUAGGAAGGCGUCCAAGUGGAUGCCUUUGGAACAAUGCUGAA